CUUUCCAUGUUGCCAUCUAGUGCAGUGCAAGGAUCAACCUAGCAUUCGGUAUAAAACGCCCGCCUCGUGCCGAGUCUUGUGGAGGUCGCAUUUAGUAGAACUGACAUCAGAAAGUGGAACAAGCUAAGUUGCAAAUGGUGAAAUCACCAUUGAAUUGGAACCAAUAAUUUGAUUCGGCUGUAUAGGUAUCCUAAUUGAAAAUUGCACAUUUUUCUUCCAGAUCUGCAAAGUUGCAACUGAUCAGACCUCCUCAGCUCCAGGCAUGGGUGUGAAGGUCCUCAAGUGCUUCUCCUGGUACAGACGCUGUAAGGAACGAUGCAAGGCUAAACAGUGCCCCCCACCUGCAGUCCCCAGAGAGGAGAUGAAGCCUCGCCUGUCGUCUACGGUGUCGUGUGGUAGCCAGGGCGAGGGCGGUAGCAGCCUGAGUGGAUCCCAGAUCUACUUCUCCACCAAGGCUCGCCUCUCCUUUAGACACCAGAUGGACAGCAACUUCAACGCAGUGGACGCAACCUGCUGAGUAAGAGCAGCCUCGACAGCCUGGGUAGUGUUCAUUAGGCAUCAAAUGGAAGAAUAAAGACUGAAUCAGGGAGGGACUACCUGGGCUUGUCCAAUCAUCAUCAUCACCACCCCGAAAAAAUGAACUCUCACCCCUCCACUAUGGCAGCCAUUAUUCUAGCUCAACAGAACGGGGAAUGGGGCAGAAUGUGAAGGACUGAGACUUCACCUACUCAGUGGUGCAUAAAUACAUCGUUCUCAACUCUCCCUUCAGGGAUGACUGUGAGAGGAGGAAUAUAAUCACAGCAGAUUGAGUUCUUCACUACAGAGAAAGACUAAGUGCACUGCUAAUGUAGCUAGUGGAGGUGGAGAAAUGUAAUGGAGAAAUGUUUACAACGUUAUCAUACUAACUGCAUUAUUUUCCUUUUGUUUUUCUGCCCACCCUUUUUAUUUCUACGUUCCUUUUUUCCAAUGUGUGUGUUGGGGUGUAAAUUACUGGGUUGGUUUGGUCUAGGGCCAGGUAAAAGACCACAAACUGCAAACAAUAGUGUCUUUAAAAUACUAGCUGGUGAAUAUGAUUUGUAUGAGUUAGGGAUCCCCAUUAGCUGCUACCAAGGCAGCAGCUACUCUUCCUGGAGUCCAAACACAUUAAGGCACUUAAAUCACACACAAAAGAUAAAACGGUACAUCAUAUAACAUUAUUACACAAAUACAUACCUACAAUGCAAAAUGUAUAAUACCACCAUACAACAAUAUUACAAUGUACGUGUGUGGAGUGCAUGCGUAAGAAUGUAAGCACUCCCAACUUUAAAUACAGGCUUUUUUUUUAAAUAUCCUGACAGUGUCCUCACCUGCUGAGAAAAACAUGGUAACUAGAUCUGAUCGGAGUAGCUGAUAAAGACAUUAAUGAGUUUCAGAGUUUGUGCCUUUCUUUUAACUUAAUUUAAACAUUUCCAAAGCUCUGACGAAGGCCUCGAGGCCGAUACGUAAAGCUUAAUAAUGAGCAGUGUGCGGGUUUCUUCUGUUUUCCCCCCUCACUUUAUUCAGCGGUUACCAUGCACCUGCAACAAAGAUAGCUCAGAUGUGCGAGAGUGCCUUUUGAAACAUUUCCAAAGCGAAAUGAAUUUUGGUGCCAGCAAUCUUCUAGUAGUGCCCUGCCUAACUGACUGAGUCUACACUUUAUUUGGCAGCAAUGCCCUCUCCAUCUUACAUCCAGCUUUUACCUUGACUGACUUCUCAUGAAAUCUUCUGGGGAACAUCAAUGAAGUUCAUGAACAGAUGCUUCACAUACUAGUUUAAGGGCAUGUCAUUCCCCCCCCCCCCCCCCCCACUUCUAAUUGUGUUGUGUUUGUAGAAAUCUAAGUUCUAGAUACAAAUUGAGAAAUAGUUGUAUGAGUGAUGAGGUAAUAGCAUCUCACUGACACCACUUCUGGGGGUUUGGUGAGAAGAAUGUACAGGGCUUCAAAGUAUUCACACUCCUGGACUUUUUCCACAUUUUGUUGUUACGGCCUGAAUCUAAAAUUACAUGUAGAUUUGGGGUCAAUGGUCUACACACAAUACCCCAUAAUGUCAAAAUGGAUUUAUGAAUUAAAAAUGAAAAGCUGAA